rnacentral:rRNA from 1 species
AGAGACAGCAGCCGCCGCGGUAAUACGGAGGGUGCAAGCGUUAAUCGGAAUUACUGGGCGUAAAGCGCACGCAGGCGGUCUGACAAGUCAGAUGUGAAAUCCCCGGGCUUAACUUGGGAACUGCAUUUGAAACUGGCAAGCUAGAGUCUUGUAGAGGGGGGUAGAAUUCCAGGUGUAGCGGUGAAAUGCGUAGAGAUCUGGAGGAAUACCGGUGGCGAAGGCGGCCCCCUGGACAAAGACUGACGCUCAGGUGCGAAAGCGUGGGGAGCAAACAGGAUUAGAUACCCGAGUAGUCCCUGUCUCUUAUAC